rnacentral:lncRNA from 10 species
CAGGCAUCUGAAGUCCCAGCUACCCAGGAGGCUGAGGUGGGAGGAUAGCUUAAGCCCAGGAGGCAGAGGUUGCAGUGAGCUGAGAUUAUGCCACUGCACUCCAGCCUGGGUGACAGAGCCUGACCCCACCUCAGUUAAAAAAAAAAAAACAACACUCUUCCUGUGUCUAAUUAAUUCAAUUCAAGUACUCUUUUCAUUAGUUUUAACCUACAGAUUAUCUAAAUAAACUCCCGCUAGGGAAAAGCAGUCACACUGCAGAAGGUCUUUUCUUUUGACUUUUGGUAACUGGCCUAACAAACAGACUUUAAGUUUUAUUGAAAUAAUUCCUGUGCCAUUGUUAUUAAGUUUUGAUUUACAUAGAAAAACUGAGAUUACUUUUUAAAAUUAAGGUUAUUACAUCUAUAUAACUUUCUGCAUUGCUUUCAAAGUCCUUGUGCCAUUAAGUUGCAGGGCUUUGACUCCCGGGUCUAAAAGGGACACCAAGUCCUGCUAAAUCAUAAACAUUGACAGCAGUUAAAGCCUCGUCUUCAGACCUGGUAGAAGAUGACAAUCAAAAUAAACUGAAUUCGUGAGACACAGGGCCAGAAAUUAAAAUUAUUCCAACUCCUCUAAGCCCAGGGACUAUCGUGUGAGAUUGUAAGAGCCGAUUUUGAGAGAUACAUUUAGUUCAGUUUCUCUAUGAGUUAACCAUUAAUAUCAAAGGCACACUGAUCCAAGACCAGUGUCUGGGCCCCUAUGUCAAAUUAACAAGCUUUUCUUGGAGCAUUAACCUAGUCUUUAAUAAAAAAAAAUUAUAAGAUUAUGAAAAGGUUUAGGAAAAUUAUGUCUUGUGGUCAGGAUAAAUAAAAUGUAAUAGAUUUGUUAAUAAGAUUUGAGAGACAGAUUUAAUUGACCUCAUGCUGUCUUUAUUGGGGCUUAUUAUUUGGGAGGUUAAGUCUCCUCUCUCAAAGAAUGAAGGUUUUUUUGCCUUUAAAAAAAAUCUUUGAGUUAUCACUUUGGCUAAAUAAAUGACUUAGUUUACAAUUAACUGUGAGCCUAUUUUAUGAUAUCAAGUGUUUUAAGCUUUUUAUAUUUGAGAAACUUUCUCAAAUAAAAUUGUAAAUUCAGUCCUCAUUAGUUGUUUGAUGUUAGGUCCCCUGAAGUCCAAAAGAGACAUAUUCAACUUAUUUGGUAUAAUAAAAUCAUAUAGGAAGUAUUGUCAAAUAUGGAAUGGUGUUUAACCUUCUUUGGAUUAUAUUUAUAAAAGGCAUUAUUAUAUGCAUUCCAAAAUUGUAUGAGAGUCCUGUGAUUCUGAUAUGUCUUAGUAUAUGUUAUCAGUAGUAAUUAUUAUUAUGUAAAAUUGUUGUAUGCCACAGAAGUAACCAAAUUUCCUCGUUAAUUGUGUCUUUAACCAUGGCUAUUCUAAGACUUUUGUCAUCCACAAUUGUUAUUUUACUUUGACUCUUUUAUAGAGCAAUUUAUAAUCAGCAAUAGAACUCUGAGGAGUACUCUUAAAUAUAGGCUUUGAUAACUUUAGAGAUUGUGCCAGUGGAAUAGAAAUAAAAAUUUCCAGGGCUCUCAUGGAGAGCUGAUGUAUUCAUGAGGAUUGCUGACCCAAUAUCAGGCAAAACAAGAGUUAAUAGCAUGGACUGAACUAAUAAAAGAAAAAUAAACUUUCUAUAAUUUGUUUUGCUUAAAAUGUUGAUUCUUUUUGUUUUGUUUUUCAGAGUCAAAUUUUUUUUUCUUUUGAUCUAUUUACAGCUUUUAGUAAUGGAGUAAAGUUUACUCCUCUGAGGAAAACUUGGGGCAAAUUUCUUUCUACCUGAUUUCUCCAGGAUUUGGAAAAUAUUUGUGAGUAUUCUUAAAUUAUGGCAAUAUAGUUAUUUGUGUAAGUGCAAUGAGAAUCUGUUUUUCUUGUAUAACAGGACACCAUUGAAAACACUGAUUAUUUUACCAAGGCUUUGACUGGAAUGGCAUGCUCUCAAAUAUAAACAGACUGCUUUAAAGAAUCAAAGUUGAUUUAUGGAGCUAACUAAAGCCCUUUGGAAAAACUGGCCUCAGACCUUGUCUACUCAGUCCAUACACAGGGUUCCUGACCUGUGGUAAGUAAAGAACAUCAUUUUCUGACAAGCCCAGAAACCUCAAGUUAUCUCGGGACCUACAAAGGUGAGGAAUUCACCCAACUCAUACAAGUAUUUACAGGUGCAUUUAAAUCCGUGGCUGGGGUCAAGGAUUUAAAAGGUCUAAUCUAAGAUUCUUUAUGGAACAAAGUGCCAUCAAAGCCAAUUUUUUAAAAGAGCCUAUAUGGCAAAUAAUUAUUCUUGCUGCACUUUAUGCAAGUAAUCAGGCCAAAUACAAUAAAACUAAAACUUAUUUUGCAAACAAAUUGUUCCUUCCAUGAUUUGUCUUUGGUAAAACUUGGAGACUAGAAAGAGAAAAAACAUAUAUUUCAAAAUAAACUAGAGUAAACCUCUUACUAGAUUGUAGCCUUGCCAAAUGUUUUUCAAUUUUUAUUAUCUUCUAAAAUUUGGACUGAAUUCUAAAAUGUUUUCUAUGUCUUCAAAAUAAUAUUUUCAAUUUUUUCUCUUCUUUUUUCCCAGUUUUCUAGAUUUAAAAUUACUAAAAAUUAAGCUGUGCUUUCUUAAAGCCCUGUGAACUGAAGCUAGGCAACUUAAACUUCAGAAGAAAAUAACAGCAACCUAUUUAUAUACAUGAACUACUUUCAUACGUGUAUACUGAUGUAUGAAAUUCAGAGUAAUAUGGCCUACAUCUGUUUUGCAGGAUUGUUCUCUUGUUUUCUGUUUGUGUGUUAUUUUCUUUCUCUCUUCCUCCCCCUAUUUUUUCUUCAUAGGUCAUGUGACUUCACAACCAUCUAAAAAUGAGUUUUCCUAACAAUGUGGGAACUAGUCAUCUAGGAAUAAACUGUCCUAGCUACAAGAGAUCAGACAAAACCCAAGACCAGAGACUCAUUUUCUUCUAAAAUGCUUUCUCUGAAAAAUUUAAAAAAAGAAAAGAGAGAGAAAUGUGAAAGGAAAAUAAAAAGUUGGGACUCUAAUUUCACUAUGCCAAAAGAAAAAAAAAUUAAGCUGAAAGCUGAGUCAUGCAGGAAGCCUCCUUUCCUUUUGUUCCUAAACAGAUAGCUACGAGUAAAAACUUAAAUAUCUCUACAGGUAGCUACUCUAUGUUAAUCUUAUAUAAAAUGCUGACUUACUGAGCAUGAGACCAAUAUAUAAUUGACUAUUCCCUUUCCUGUUCCUUUUCUCUUCUAACACGUGGAUUCAGUAAUGUGACCAUACUCUUCCUGUUUUCCCUCUAGCUUGCUUUUCUCUUCUAAAUAUUGAAGCCCGCAAAAUCAUCUUUGGAGAAAGGCACAGACCUGUCUCCUGGGUGCAUGUCCUUAACCUUGGCAAAAUAAACUUCUAUAUUGAUUGAGAUCUGUCUCAGAUACUUGUUGGUUUACUCUACCAAAGCAGAAUAUGGAAUGUGGAGAUGAGAGUUUCAAAUAUUCCUACCACCUGAUUCUUCCUAAAGCAUGUAUAUUUCAAAGAAAAACCUCAAUAUGUGCCUCAGAUACUAUGCCAUUCUUUCUCUCAAGUUUCAGUCAUAGAUGCAGAACCAGUACAAUAAAUAAAUGAUAGAGACAGACAAACAUAAGGAGUAUUUAUUAAAAAGAAAUGGAAUAUGUGAUUAUGAGGGCUGGCUAAGCAAAUCUGAAAUUCAUAGAACAAGUGGCAGGAAGGGAAGAUCACAUGCAGAAAAGAAUUCCAUGGGCAUGGGCUGACAUAGUUGUUAACAGGGUAUCAGG